GAUGAACGCUGGCGGCGUGCCUAAUACAUGCAAGUCGAGCGAACAGACGAGGAGCUUGCUCCUCUGACGUUAGCGGCGGACGGGUGAGUAACACGUGGAUAACCUACCUAUAAGACUGGGAUAACUUCGGGAAACCGGAGCUAAUACCGGAUAAUAUAUUGAACCGCAUGGUUCAAUAGUGAAAGACGGUUUUGCUGUCACUUAUAGAUGGAUCCGCGCCGCAUUAGCUAGUUCGUAAGGUAACGGCUUACCAAGGCAACGAUGCGUAGCCGACCUGAGAGGGUGAUCGGCCACACUGGAACUGAGACACGGUCCAGACUCCUACGGGAGGCAGCAGUAGGGAAUCUUCCGCAAUGGGCGAAAGCCUGACGGAGCAACGCCGCGUGAGUGAUGAAGGUCUUCGGAUCGUAAAACUCUGUUAUUGGGGAAGAACAAAUGUGUAAGUAACUAUGCACGUCUUGACGGUACCUAAUCAGAAAGCCACGGCUAACUACGUG
rnacentral:rRNA from 1 species